rnacentral:ncRNA from 1 species
UAGGUGCCAAAAGGCUUAAUAGGGAAAUCGGUGUAAAUCCGAUACGGUCCCGCCGCUGUAAUGAGGAGCGACUCCAAAUACGUCACUGAGAGAAAUCUUGGGAAGGCUGGAGAAGUGAUGAAUCUGAGUCAGAAGAACUGCCAUUGCAUG